rnacentral:lncRNA from 10 species
ACGGCACACACUAGGGUCUCCGUCUCUCACACACACACACCACAAUGACGUCGUAAACAAUAGCACUAACCACCAUCGUCCGCAGCUCCCGCGUACAGAGGCCUCAGGCUCCCGGCUCCACGUGGACCGACCUCGCCCGGCAGCGCGGGGCCACCUCACCGCGAGCUCCUCCCGCAGCCCGGCCCGGGUCACCUCGACUCGCCAGGCUUAACUCAAUAACCACAACACCGGAAAAGGAAGCAAAGGUCGAAGUUCAUCCGCGGCCCUGAGGCCUGUGGGAAACGUAGUCCAACAACGAAAGAGCCCUGAAGCUCAAGCGGAGCCCGCUGGCCGCAGGGGCCGCACCACGCCCCAGACCCUGGAGUUUCCGGGUGCGCAGACCCUUGCCAUCAGCAGAGGCUGCCGCUGCGCGUCCCCUAGGCGCGGAAGAGGCGGCUGGUGGUCCCUGACGGCAAGGUUUUAUACAUUACGAAUAAAGCUGGCACGUUUCCAUUUCUCCUGGGCAAAUAUUUAGAAGAAAAGUUGCUGGGUAAUUGGUGGAGACAAGGUUUCGCCACAUUGACUGGGCUGGUCUGGAACUCCUGAGCUCAAGCAACCGGCCCUCCUUGACCUCCCAAAGUGCUAGGAUUACAGGUGUGAACCACCGUGCCCGGCCCUACUUUCUAUCGAAGUAGAAUAGGUAGAUCACAUUAUUAUUAACAGUAUAUGGGAAGAGGGAGGUCCUCCCAUGUUACAUUGUUCUCCCUUCACCUUCUGGGUCAUGUUGCACCACUGUUUCCCUUCUAGUCAUAUCCCAGGGGGCCUUGUCCCAUUUAUACAGCUCUAUUCUAGUGGUCACCAGAGGAAUGGGAGUAAUCUGAUUGAAAGAUAAGACAGAAGAUUGUACUCUCUUUUUUUUUUUUUUGAGACAGAGUCACCCAGGCUGGAAUGCAGUGGCAUUGUCAUGGCUCACCGCAGUCUCAAACUCCUGGGCCCAAGUGAUCCUCCCACUCAGCCUCCUGAGUAGCUGGGACUAGAGGCACAUGCAACCACAUGCAGCUAUUUUUUUUUAAAUUUUCUGUAGAGACAGGGUCUCACUGUGUUGCUCAGUUUGUCUCAAACUCCUGGGCUCAAGUGAUCCUCCUGCCUUGGCCUCACAAAGUACUAGGAUUACAGGCAUGAGUCACCACACUCAGCUGAACUCUACUCUUUAUGUUCAGGAAAGCACUGGAGAAGAGAGAGGACAAGAGAAACAGGUCCGUAGUGACAGGAGCCUAGGAAUAGAGCAGGCCUUCAGUCUUGGUGAAAAAAUAAAUGGUAUUCUAAGCCUUC